rnacentral:lncRNA from 1 species
UUCCUUCUGUUGUUUCUUUUUUUUUCUUGUGAAGCGAAAGCGAGAUGCUAACAACUAAGAUUGUGUUUUAACCUAGUACCCUUCGUUCUCUUUUAUAAGGUGUGCACCCAUAUGAGGGUUCAAUCUUUAAAAUCUUUGACCAAUAGGUUGGCUAACAAUUUUCAAUUAUUAUAAUACAAAUUUAUGGGAAGCAUAAAGUAUAUAAAUGGCUAAAGUAUAAUUUGGAAACCAUGACAUAUUAAAUUGUCUUAUAAAAGAGAAUGGAUUGAGUAGCUACGUAGUUAUCAGUUGAAACUUGUUUAGAUCCAUUAGCUAAUAAGUGGCAAGAUUGAUUGACUACCUAUAAUGUCUCUCCCCUCUCUCUAUUACUCCUCUAAGCCUUGCCCAUCUUUCUUUUAUUUUCUUUCUCGCCUAGCCAAAUCCACCUCUACAGCUAUACCUCCCCUUCUCCAUCUGCAUAGGACAUCGACCUCAAGCUCGGUGCAAGCCCGAUGAAGAUCCACAGUUGACGCCCUUCGUCCUCCGCUCGCACAGAGCAGCGAGCAAAAGAGAUCGACCUUCAUGCCCUCAACUACAACCAGACAUAUAACCAAUGUAAUAUAUUUGUG